UGUGAUAGUGCUUUUCUUUCAGAAGUUGU
rnacentral:piRNA from 1 species